rnacentral:lncRNA from 1 species
AGAUCAAAACUGCUUAUAACACUCUGAAUGAAAUCUAGAGUGUUAAUAGCUUGAUCACCAAAUGUAUUGCUGAGGAAGAAAAGCUUAAAAAAGAAGAGUGAGAGUGCCCUUCUUUCCUUCCAAUCCAAACCCUAUUCUGGCAAGGAUUCUGUGAACUAGAAAAGAUGUAAACCUACUGCUCAUAGACAGUCUCAAAAUGCUAAGGGACAUAGUAAUAAUCCUGGUCAGAAUUGUUCUGUAGGAGGCCCC